CGUCUUUAAGAAGAAGAAGAAAGAUGGGGAGGAAUCUGUUCCUGAUCCCUUCCCAUGCAGUUGUGGCUCUCUGGGCACAGAAGAGGAAUCUGUCUAAGGCUCAGUAGAUGAUUCAAGAGGAGGAGGAGGAGGAGGAGGCUGAAGUGAAUCCAAUUGGCAGCUGAGUGAGAGGAAAGAAGGAGCAUGGUCCAAAGGGAUGGCGAGGGAAUAAAAACAAGGAAUGGAAAAGAGAAAAAUGCUGUGCUCCUGAGAUUUGUUUUGAAAUUACAGCUACUCAGGACUCCAAAGAGUUCUUAGUUUCCAAAGGGGAUUUAACUUUCUGGGGAUUUCCUUGGCUGCUGCUAAACCAGUUAAUGUUUCCCUUCAAAAUCAGGGUGAUGCUGAAACCAGUUUAUCCUCUUUGGGGAAAGAAAUCAGGUUGAAGCAGGAAGCAGUUUAUUAAAGAUUUAAUGGAAAUUUACAAUAGAGAAGCCUAAUUGCUAUGGAACCUCAGGUUCUAAUAGAUUAAAAAUUAAAGACCAAGUGGCUUGUCAUAAAUUGCUUGUUCUGCAAUAUAUUUUUAUUAGAGCAGCUAAUUCUGUUUGGAAUGCCCUUCUCUGGAGCCCUUUGUACUCUGGACCCAUGAAUCUUUAAACACAAACCCAAUUUAACAAAUUGCUAAAUCAGCCAGAAGGAACUAGAAUAGAAAACAAACUUUGGCAACAAGUAGCAUUCACCUAAGACAGCCCACGCUAUCAGCUGAGAGCAAUUUUGCAUGGCAACAGUUUAUACCUGGAAAUGCUGAAUGGAGCAGAAAAUACAUGUGAAUCAUAUCAGCUGUGGAGUGUGCAUGUAUGUCAGUGUGCAUAUAUGUCACUUAAAACACACACACACACACCAGAGACACACUGGAACCUCAAUCACAAUAUAAAAAUAAAUAUACAUCUAUACUUGGUUUCCAGAUAUAGUCUCACUCCAAUGCUUUAUCAAAUUUAUAUAGAAUUUAUG